UAAGGUAUAUAUUUAAUUUAAAUUUAGUGUUUGAAAGUAAUUAAGUGUUGAUUCCUGCGUCGUGUUGUCCAUGUUGGAUAUGAUAAGAAUCUAACGAAUGUAAUCCACAAACAAUUAACCAACCACGUGGAACUUCUCGAUCAUCAUUUUCAUUAUCUUAUACAUUCGACUGUUAUUCCUUAUUUCUAUUCCCGUAAUUGCAAUCCUUCGAAUACAAACGUUUUUGGUCGCACUCAAUCUAAACAUAUCUUGGAUAAAUUAUAUUUUUUUUAAACAUAUCUUGAAGAAUCAUGUAAACCUUCACUGGUAGUAAUAAAAUAAGAU
rnacentral:lncRNA from 1 species